AUGGCAAAAUCCAUUUCUUUUUUUUUUUCUUUUUUUGAGACAGAGCCUUGCUCUGUUGCCCAGGCUGGAGUGCAGUGGCGAGAUCUUGGCUCACUGCAACCUCCAUCUCCCAGGUUCAAGCGAUUCUCCUGUCUCAGCCUCCUGAGUAGCUGGGAUUACAAGUGUCUGCCACCACACCCGGCUAAUUUUUGUAUUUUUAGUAGAGACAGGGUUUCACCAUGUUGUUCAGGCUGGUCUCGAACGCCUGACCUUGUGA